CCGAGCACCCACCUGCGCCCACCCCGCAGGGAUUGUGCAGCCACGUGCGGGUACCUGCGGGUGCCGCGGCGCUGCGGGGGGCAGCACACCCGCACCCCCCUGCUGCAGCGCUGCCCCCGCCUCCAGCACCUCCCGCCCUGCGCCCCCGGGCACCUCCAGCCCCACGCCGAGCUCCCCGUGAAGCAGGACGAGGUGGAGCUGCUGGGCCAGGACGGGCACAUCUACAAGGGCCGGCGGGACGCACGGCUGCCCGCCCUCGUGGGGAAGGACGGCACCCCCAGGCCCCAGGAGCUCCGGACAGCGUCACCCCACGGCCGCGUCCCCCAGGGACCGGGGCUCCCCUCGCCCCCGUGGGCGCCGCAGGAUGGGAGAGAGACCCCGGCAUUGGAGAGGGGCCGGGGGGGCCCGGCUGGGAGCCCCCCCUGGGCACCAUACGGGGGGGUCGGCCAGGAGCAAUAAAGGGCGGUGGAUG